GUAUUUCUUUUUUUUCCAAUCCAAUGUUUUUUAUCAGGCAAGCACUACUUUUUACCCCCCCAAAAAACACCAUUUGUAUAUAGUUGUGAUCGUUUGUUUGUAUACCGUAAAGGUAAAGUGGUAAAUUUCCUUUGAUGAUCCCUCCGCAGGUUCACCUACGGAGA
rnacentral:misc_RNA from 1 species